AAUAAUUACAAAAAAGAACGAUAUGCAAUGAUUCAAAAGUUAUAUGUAGCAAAGAAAUAACAACUUAGGCGAAACAAGUCAAAAGUGUUAUAUAAGGACUCAUCGAAGUUUUUGUAACUCCGGUGAAGUUUCGGCGAUGGUAAAAAGUAUACCUCUGGUUCAUUUAACACUCUUCUCUUUAAGCUUUGAAUCGUUCAUUUAUUCCAUCUUUCCUUGUUCCUCUUUCUUUACUCCUAUUUUCUUUGUGUUGCUAGUGUGUCUUGUAUUGUAGUAAUGAAGUGGCUAAGCUCAGACGCUUUGAAGCUUUAAUGGUCAGCUUCAAAGGUCUAGGUUCAGAGCUCUGAUGUAAGGUUUUUGGAAAGGAUUUUGGCAGAGUAAAAAUAUUAUUUUUCUGGGUGAUUUUCAGGAGUGUCAGUUGGUGUACUUAUAGGAAGAGUUAAGGAAAGAAAAUCAGUGAAAAUUGGAUAAGGAUUGCAACAAAUUUGUUAGAGAAGACCUUCCCAAAUCCCUGAUUUUGUGGAUGGUGAGUGGAGAGAGUGUAACGCAUGAAAUAUUUUCAGCACGUGAGCAUAUUUUUUGUGUAUUUUUUCUUUUCUGAAUGUAACUUUUCACUCAUGCAAUUAGUUUUACUGCUAUAUGAGUUUUCAUUAUUUUUACUGAUGUAACUCAAUAUUUACUGAUGAGAAUGCUUUGUUUUUUCUAUUGAUGCAAUAUGUUUUAUAAUACA
rnacentral:lncRNA from 1 species